rnacentral:rRNA from 1 species
GAUGAACGCUAGCGGCAGGCUUAACACAUGCAAGUCGAGGGGCAGCACGUCUUCGGAUGGUGGCGACCGGCGCACGGGUGAGUAACGCGUAUGCAAUCUACCUUUUACAGGGGCAUAGCCCGGGGAAACCCGGAUUAAUAUCCUAUAGUACCAUUAUAUAGCAUUAUAUUAUGGUUAGAGUUUCGGCGGUAAAAGAUGAGCAUGCGUCCUAUUAGCUUGAUGGUAAGGUAGCGGCUUACCAUGGCUAUGAUAGGUAGGGGUCCUGAGAGGGAGACCCCCCACACUGGUACUGAGACACGGACCAGACUCCUACGGGAGGCAGCAGUGAGGAAUAUUGGACAAUGGGCGCAAGCCUGAUCCAGCCAUGCCGCGUGCAGGAAGACGGCCCUAUGGGUUGUAAACUGCUUUUAUACGGGAAGAAACACCCCUUCGUGAAGGGACUUGACGGUACCGUAUGAAUAAGGAUCGGCUAACUCCGUGCCAGCAGCCGCGGUAAUACGGG